GAUGAACGCUGGCGGCGUGCCUAAUACAUGCAAGUCGAGCGAACAGAUAAGGAGCUUGCUCCUUUGACGUUAGCGGCGGAAGGGUGAGUAACACGUGGGUAACCUACCUAUAAGACUGGGAUAACUUCGGGAAACCGGAGCUAAUACCGGAUAACAUUUGGAACCGCAUGGUUCUAAAGUGAAAGAUGGUUUUGCUAUCACUUAUAGAUGGACCCGCGCCGUAUUAGCUAGUUGGUAAGGUAACGGCUUACCAAGGCGACGAUACGUAGCCGACCUGAGAGGGUGAUCGGCCACACUGGAACUGAGACACGGUCCAGACUCCUACGGGAGGCAGCAGUAGGGAAUCUUCCGCAAUGGGCGAAAGCCUGACGGAGCAACGCCGCGUGAGUGAUGAAGGGUUUCGGCUCGUAAAACUCUGUUAUUAGGGAAGAACAAAUGUGUAAGUAACUGUGCACGUCUUGACGGUACCUAAUCAGAAAGCCACGGCUAACUACGUG
rnacentral:rRNA from 1 species